UACGUAGGAGGCAAGCGUUGUCCGGAAUCAUUGGGCGUAAAGAGCGCGUAGGCGGCCCUGUAAGUCCGCUGUGAAAGUCAAGGGCUCAACCCUUGGAUGCCGGUGGAUACUGCAGGGCUAGAGUCCGGAAGAGGCGAGUGGAAUUCCUGGUGUAGCGGUGAAAUGCGCAGAUAUCAGGAGGAACACCGGUGGCGAAGGCGGAUCUCUGGGCCAUUACUGACGCUGAGGAGCGAAAGCGUGGGGAGCGAACAGG
rnacentral:rRNA from 1 species